rnacentral:rRNA from 1 species
UACGUAGGGUGCGAGCGUUGUCCGGAAUUACUGGGCGUAAAGAGCUCGUAGGUGGUUUGUCGCGUUGUCCGUGAAAACUCAACAACCUCAAUUGUGGGCGUGCGAGCGAUACGGGCAGACUGGAGUACUGCAGGGGGAGACUGGAAUUCCGUGGUGUAGCGGUGAAAUGCGCAGAUAUCAGGAGGAACACCGGUGGCGAAGGCGGGUCUCUGGGCCGAUACUGACGCUGAGGAACGAAAGCGUGGGGAGCGAACAGG